GACACUUUGGCCGAGUGGUUAAGGCGCAAGCCUGCUAUUAUGUUAGCUUGUGGGUUCGCCCGCGUGAGUUCGAGUCUCACAGGUGUCG